rnacentral:sRNA from 1 species
UGAACUCUAUAUUUCAGAGAGUGGUUGCCCUAACCUCCCAAUAAAUCAAAAUGUCCGAUUUUCUGAAGGAAAACAGAAAGGAAGUAUCAAAAGUUUUUCCUGCAAUCCAACCUUUAUUUUGUCUGGUGCUGACCGAGUCCUGUGUGAUGGGACACGAUGGAGUGGCGUAUCACCAAACUGUGUGAAAUAUGAUACCUUGACACGCAAUUUCACUUGUGAUUUCGAGGACAAGGGGUUCUGUGGCUGGAUUCAGGAUAUCAAUGA